UACGAAGGGGGCUAGCGUUGUUCGGAUUUACUGGGCGUAAAGCGCACGUAGGCGGAUCGUUAAGUCGGGGGUGAAAUCCUGGAGCUCAACUCCAGAACUGCCUUCGAUACUGGCGAUCUUGAGUCCGGAAGAGGUGAGUGGAACUCCUAGUGUAGAGGUGGACUUCGUAGAUAUUAGGAAGAACACCAGUGGCGAAGGCGGCUCACUGGUCCGGUACUGACGCUGAGGUGCGAAAGCGUGGGGAGCAAACAGG
rnacentral:rRNA from 1 species